AGAGUUUGAUCCUGGCUCAGGACGAACGCUGGCGGCGUGCCUAAUACAUGCAAGUCGAGCGGACAGAAGGGAGCUUGCUCCCGGAUGUUAGCGGCGGACGGGUGAGUAACACGUGGGUAACCUGCCUGUAAGACUGGGAUAACUCCGGGAAACCGGAGCUAAUACCGGAUAGUUCCUUGAACCGCAUGGUUCAAGGAUGAAAGACGGUUUCGGCUGUCACUUACAGAUGGACCCGCGGCGCAUUAGCUAGUUGGUGAGGUAACGGCUCACCAAGGCGACGAUGCGUAGCCGACCUGAGAGGGUGAUCGGCCACACUGGGACUGAGACACGGCCCAGACUCCUACGGGAGGCAGCAGUAGGGAAUCUUCCGCAAUGGACGAAAGUCUGACGGAGCAACGCCGCGUGAGUGAUGAAGGUUUUCGGAUCGUAAAGCUCUGUUGUUAGGGAAGAACAAGUGCAAGAGUAACUGCUUGCACCUUGACGGUACCUAACCAGAAAGCCACGGCUAACUACGUGCCAGCAGCCGCGGUAAUACGUAGGUGGCAAGCGUUGUCCGGAAUUAUUGGGCGUAAAGGGCUCGCAGGCGGUUUCUUAAGUCUGAUGUGAAAGCCCCCGGCUCAACCGGGGAGGGUCAUUGGAAACUGGGAAACUUGAGUGCAGAAGAGGAGAGUGGAAUUCCACGUGUAGCGGUGAAAUGCGUAGAG
rnacentral:rRNA from 1 species